GGGCCCGUAGUCUAGUUUGGUUAGGACGCCGCCCUGACGCGGCGGAGGUCGCCGGUUCAAGUCCGGCCGGGCCCA
rfam:Caldisphaera lagunensis DSM 15908, complete genome.